ACAGAGGGUUCGAUUAUGGCUCAGAUUGAACGCUGGCGGGAUGCUUUACACAUGCAAGUCGAACGGCAGCACGGACUUCGGUCUGGUGGCGAGUGGCGAACGGGUGAGUAAUGUAUCGAACGUGCCUAGUAGCGGGGGAUAACUACGCGAAAGCGUAGCUAAUACCGUAUACGCCCUUCGGAAAGUGGGGACUUUUCGGGCCUCGCACUAUUAGAGCGGCCGAUAUCGAUUAGCGAAGCAGGGUAACGGCUCACCAAGGCGACGAUCCGUAGCUGGUUUGAGAGACGACCAGCCACACUGGGACUGAGACAUGGCCCAGACUAGCCAGAGGCAGCAGUGGGGAAUUUUGGACAAUGGGGGAAACCCUGAUCCAGCCAUCCCGGGCGUGUGCGAUGAAGGCCUUCGGGUUGUAAAGCACUUUUGGCAGGAAAGAAACGGCACGGAUAAUACCCCGUGCAACUGACGGUACCCGGGUAUAGCACCGCUAACCAUGCCAGCAGCUGCGGUAAUACGUAGGGUGCAAGCGUUAAUCGGAAUUACUGGGCGCAAGCGUGCGCAGGCGGUUCGGCAAGAAGAUGUGAAAUCAGAGCUUAACUUUGGAACUGCAUUUUUAACUACCGAGCUAGAGUGUGUCAGUGAGGGAGGUGGAAUUCCGCGUGUAGCAGGAAUGCGUAGAUAUGCGGAGGAACACCGAUGGCGAAGGCAGCCUCCUGGGAUAACACCGACGCUCUGCGUAUCGAAAGGUGGGGAGCAAACAGGAUUAGAUACCGGCAGGUCUACGCCCUGAAACAUGUCAACUAGCCGUUGGGGCCUUCGCCUCGGUAGCGCAGCUAACGCGUGAAGUUGACCGCCUGGGGAGUACGGUCGCAAGAUUAAACCCAAAGGAAUUGACGGGGACCCGCACAAGCGGUGGAUGAUGUGGAUUAAUUCGAUGCAACGCGAAAACCUUACCUACCCUUGACAUGUCUGGAAUCCCGAAGAGAUUUGGGAGUGCUCGCAAGAGAACCGGAACAUUGUGCUGCAUGGCUGUCGUCAGCUCGUGUCGUGAGAUGUUGGGUUAAGUCCUGCACGAGCGCAACCCUUGUCACAGGUUGCUACGAAAGGUACUGAUUGACUGCCGGUGACAAACCGGAGGAAGGUGGGGAUGACGUCAAGUCCUCAUGGUCUGUGGCAGGGGGCUUCACACGUCAGCGCGCUGGUCGGGACAGAGGGUCGCCAACCCGCGAGGGGGGAGCCAAUCCCAGAAACCCGAUCGUAGUCCGGAUCGCAGUCUGCAACUCGACUGCGUGAAGUCGGAAUCGCUAGUAAUCGCGGAUCAGCAUGUCGCGGUGAAUACGUUCCCGGGUCUUGUACACACCGCCCGUCACACCAUGGGAGUGGGUUUUACCAGAAGUGAAGAAAUUAACCAAGAGGUGGCGAUUACCACGGUAGGAUUCUAUGACUGGGGUGAAGUCGUAACAAGGUAG
rnacentral:rRNA from 1 species